ensembl:misc_RNA RNaseP_nuc Nuclear RNase P
UGUACAGGAAGCUCACUGUAGAGGUCACGUGCCGAGUGCCUGGUGACUCCACCAAUCACCUCGGGGUAGGUCUGAGACAGGAGCCAAUUGCUGCCCCCGCAGGGCAUCACCUAACGCGGGUGAGCGAGUGCACAAGUAGCACACGUCUAGUUCCCCCCACUUGCUCAGUAUUGUUUCAAAUCCCCUUUCAGUCGCUCCCAGGAGUGAGGGUGGAGGAGGGAUCCGACACUCUCGUGCUUGGGAUCAAGCUGACAUGCCCUCAACCGGCCACAUUAAGCCAAUAAAUCAAUCUAAUUCAAAUUAAGUCUUUACUCCA